rnacentral:rRNA from 1 species
UACGUAGGGUGCGAGCGUUAAUCGGAAUUACUGGGCGUAAAGCGUGCGCAGGCGGCUGCUCAAGUCAGGCGUGAAAGGCCUGGGCUCAACCCGGGAAUUGCGCUUGAGACUGGGCUGGCUUGAGUGCGGGAGAGGAUGGUGGAAUUCCCAGUGUAGAGGUGAAAUUCGUAGAUAUCUGGAAGAACACCAGUGGCGAAGGCGGUCAACUGGCCCGUAACUGACGCUGAGGCACGAAAGCGUGGGUAGCGAACAGG